rnacentral:tRNA from 1 species
AGUCUCGUGGACGAUUAGAUAAGUCGCUUUGGUUCUCAGUCAAGGAGAAGCGGGUGCAACUCCCGUCGAGACUUC